GUGAAUCAUCAAAUUUUUGAACGCAAAUUGCACUCUCUUCGGAGAGUAUGCCUGUUUGAGGGUCAGCCAAAAAAAAUCGACGUACUCGCUUUUUCGCGGUGACAGUCGUCGGAAAUUGGAUCAUCGUAAACUUUUGGGCUUUUUAAGCGGCUUAAAAUUUUCUUGACGAUUCCACGAACGUAUCUAAGUUUUUACUUCUUACACACGUUUAUGGUAUCUAUCUUUAUUAGACGUUCC
rnacentral:misc_RNA from 1 species